rnacentral:tRNA from 1 species
AGGUUUUAUAGUUUAUUUAAAAAUACAAAGUUGCAAACUUUGUGAUACAUGUAGAGAUUGUUAAGACUUA